AAGUCGUAACAAGGUUUCCGUAGGUGAACCUGCGGAAGGAUCAUUAACACGUUAUCCACGUAUCUACCAACGAGAACAGUUUUCACUCCCUCUCUCAUGAAGCAUGAACUGAGCUGGUCCAGCGUAGGAUGGGAUGCUCUGCGUCGACGUUGACAGCCACUGGCCGUAUCACAGGUAGUUCAAUCUGCCGUGUUAGCCGACAGUUGAAGUUCUCUGAGUCUAAUGUCAUUGGGCCGUUUCCACUCCAUAUCGCCCGGUGACAAACCUUUUUUACCCAUAUCAACCCCCUUUUUGCUAGUUGACUUUUAUAUGUUGCAUGUGAGCUUCGGCGAGUGUGCACACGUUUAAUUAUUUGAACGUUAAAAAUACAACUCUUAGCAAUGGAUAUCUAGGUUCUC
rnacentral:misc_RNA from 1 species